UAGGGAAUCUUCCGCAAUGGACGCAAGUCUGACGGAGCAACGCCGCGUGAGUGAAGAAGGAUUUCGGUUCGUAAAACUCUGUUGUUAGAGAAGAACAGCGCAUAGAGUAACUGUUAUGCGUGUGACGGUAUCUAACCAGAAAGCCACGGCUAACUACGUGCCAGCAGCCGCGGUAAUACGUAGGUGGCAAGCGUUGUCCGGAUUUAUUGGGCGUAAAGCGAGCGCAGGCGGUCAAUUAAGUCUGAUGUGAAGGCCCCCGGCUCAACCGGGGAGGGUCAUUGGAAACUGGUUGACUUGAGUGCAGAAGAGGAGAGUGGAAUUCCAUGUGUAGCGGUGAAAUGCGUAGAUAUAUGGAGGAACACCAGUGGCGAAGGCGACUCUCUGGUCUGUAACUGACGCUGAGGCUCGAAAGCGUGGGUAGCAAACAGG
rnacentral:rRNA from 1 species